rnacentral:rRNA from 1 species
AGUGAACGCUGGCGGUAGGCCUAACACAUGCAAGUCGAACGGCAGCACAGUAAGAGCUUGCUCUUACGGGUGGCGAGUGGCGGACGGGUGAGGAAUACAUCGGAAUCUACUUUUUCGUGGGGGAUAACGUAGGGAAACUUACGCUAAUACCGCAUACGACCUACGGGUGAAAGCAGGGGAUCUUCGGACCUUGCGCGAUUGAAUGAGCCGAUGUCGGAUUAGCUAGUUGGCGGGGUAAAGGCCCACCAAGGCGACGAUCCGUAGCUGGUCUGAGAGGAUGAUCAGCCACACUGGAACUGAGACACGGUCCAGACUCCUACGGGAGGCAGCAGUGGGGAAUAUUGGACAAUGGGCGCAAGCCUGAUCCAGCCAUACCGCGUGAGUGAAGAAGGCCUUCGGGUUGUAAAGCCCUUUUGUUGGGAAAGAAAAGCAGCAGGUUAAUACCCCGCUGUGCUGACGGUACCCAAAGAAUAAACACCGGCUAACUUCGU